GGCGAACGCUGGCGGCGUGCUUAACACAUGCAAGUCGAACGGAAAGGCCCUGCUUUUGUGGGGUGCUCGAGUGGCGAACGGGUGAGUAACACGUGAGUAACCUGCCCUUGACUUUGGGAUAACUUCAGGAAACUGGGGCUAAUACCGGAUAGGAGCUCCUGCUGCAUGGUGGGGGUUGGAAAGUUUCGGCGGUUGGGGAUGGACUCGCGGCUUAUCAGCUUGUUGGUGGGGUAGUGGCUUACCAAGGCUUUGACGGGUAGCCGGCCUGAGAGGGUGACCGGCCACAUUGGGACUGAGAUACGGCCCAGACUCCUACGGGAGGCAGCAGUGGGGAAUAUUGCACAAUGGGCUGAAGCCUGAUGCAGCAACGCCGCGUGCGGGAUGACGGCCUUCGGGUUGUAAACCGCUUUCGCCUGUGACGAAGCGUGAGUGACGGUAAUGGGUAAAGAAGCACCGGCUAACUACGUG
rnacentral:rRNA from 1 species